UGCAAGUCGUACGGGAAUUUUUAAUUCAAGUGGCGGACGGGUGAGUAACACGUAAGAAUUUGCCUUUAGGAGGGGGACAACAACUGGAAACGGUUGCUAAUACCCCAUAUGCUUUCGAGUGAAAUGGAUUUUUCCGCCUAAAGAGAAGCUUGCGGCUGAUUAGCUUGUUGGUGAGGUAAUGGCUCACCAAGGCGACGAUCAGUAUCUGGUUUGAGAGGAUGAUCAGACACACUGGAACUGAGACACGGUCCAGACUCCUACGGGAGGCAGCAGUGGGGAAUUUUCCGCAAUGGGCGAAAGCCUGACGGAGCAAUCUCGCGUGAGGGAUGACGGCCUAUGGGUUGUAAACCUCUUUUUUCAGGGAGGAACAAAAUGACGUGUACCUGAAGAAUAAGCAUCGGCUAACUCCGUGCCAGCAGCCGCGGUAAGACGGAGGAUGCAAGUGUUAUCCGGAAUCACUGGGCGUAAAGCGUCUGUAGGUGGUUUGAUAAGUCAACUGUUAAAUCUUGAAGCUCAACUUCAAAAUCGCAGUCGAAACUAUUAGACUAGAGUAUAGUAGGGGUAAAGGGAAUUUCCAGUGGAGCGGUGAAAUGCGUAGAUAUUGGAAAGAACACCGAUGGCGAAGGCACUUUACUGGGCUAUUACUGACACUCAGAGACGAAAGCUAGGGUAGCAAAUGGGAUUAGAUACCCCAGUAGUCCUAGCCGUAAACAAUGGAUACUAGAUGUU
rnacentral:rRNA from 1 species